rnacentral:siRNA from 1 species
AUCAAACUUGAUGGAACCAAGCGA